rnacentral:rRNA from 1 species
AUAACAGUUAGAAAUGACUGCUAAUACCGCAUAAGACCACAGCACCGCAUGGUGCAGGGGUAAAAACUCCGGUGGUAUGAGAUGGACCCGCGUCUGAUUAGGUAGUUGGUGGGGUAACGGCCUACCAAGCCGACGAUCAGUAGCCGACCUGAGAGGGUGACCGGCCACAUUGGGACUGAGACACGGCCCAAACUCCUACGGGAGGCAGCAGUGGGGAAUAUUGCACAAUGGGGGAAACCCUGAUGCAGCGACGCCGCGUGAGCGAUGAAGUAUUUCGGUAUGUAAAGCUCUAUCAGCAGGGAAGAAAAUGACGGUACCUGACUAAGAAGCACCGGCUAAAUACGUGCCAGCAGCCGCGGUAAUACGUAUGGUGCAAGCGUUAUCCGGAUUUACUGGGUGUAAAGGGAGCGUAGACGGAGUGGCAAGUCUGAUGUGAAAACCCGGGGCUCAACCCCGGGACUGCAUUGGAAACUGUCAAUCUAGAGUACCGGAGAGGUAAGCGGAAUUCCUAGUGUAGCGGUGAAAUGCGUAGAUAUUAGGAGGAACACCAGUGGCGAAGGCGGCUUACUGGACGGUAACUGACGUUGAGGCUCGAAAGCGUGGGGAGCAAACAGGAUUAGAUACCCUGGUAGUCCACGCCGUAAACGAUGACUACUAGGUGUUGGGCAGCAAAGCUGUUCGGUGCCG